rnacentral:antisense_RNA from 1 species
CUGGGACUGCGCGGGUGCUGCGGUGAGCUUCGGGGUCUGGUGUGGCUGGUGCUUGUGCAGCCACUGCCUCCGGCCUCGGUGAUUGCGAAACUGAGGGGCAGUGGGUGCAGUGAGACUUGACGUGCCUUUUAAGAGAAGAAAGAUGCGUGAAGACUGUCCUGCACUUGGUGCAUUCAUAUGGUUUUUCUCCAGCAGCAAUUUCCUUGUGCAGCAACUGAUGAGAAAGAAAUGAGUUCAUUAAAAACCCAGGGAAGGAAUGAUGCCAUCCUCACCUACUGAGGCCAGGUUCCGGAAGGUCUCCAGCAUCACAUCUCUGUAGAGGUCCCUCUGAGCAGAAUCCAGCAAAGCCCACUCCUCCAGGGUGAAGUCCACAGCCACAUCCUCAAAGACCACUGAGUCCUAAGACAAACCACACAGGUGUGCAGGAGGAUUGGCGACACUGAAAGUACUGGGGAACUGGACUCAAUUCAUAAAUUCAAACAAGAUUCUGUGGUGUCCCAACACCUCCUCUAUGACGCGAAUCUUAGAUCUUUUACUUAUUCACAAUCACUUCCUAGUAAACUUCUUAGCACCACUAUCAGUCUGAACUUCUCUCUGCCUUUUUACUGCGACUGCUCUUAUUUUCCUCUACCAGGAGGGUCUAGAGAAAUGCUAUGCAAAUGAAGUAACUUUUCCAUUUGAAACGUUGCAUAACGCAGCAGGCCUCGGUUGUCCAAACGAUGCACGUUUCACAGGUCUUUCGGACAAGCCUUCCAUCAGCUACUGGAGAAAAUGG